rnacentral:rRNA from 1 species
GACGAACGCUGGCGGCGUGCUUAACACAUGCAAGUCGAACGGUAAGGCCCUUCGGGGUACACGAGUGGCGAACGGGUGAGUAACACGUGGGUGAUCUGCCCUGCACUUCGGGAUAAGCCUGGGAAACUGGGUCUAAUACCGGAUAGGACUCCGGACUGCAUGGUCUGGGGUGGAAAGCUUUUGCGGUGUGGGAUGGGCCCGCGGCCUAUCAGCUUGUUGGUGGGGUGAUGGCCUACCAAGGCGACGACGGGUAGCCGGCCUGAGAGGGUGACCGGCCAGACUGGGACUGAGAUACGGCCCAGACUCCUACGGGAGGCAGCAGGGGGGAAUAUUGCACAAUGGGCGCAAGCCUGAUGCAGCGACGCCGCGUGAGGGAUGACGGCCUUCGGGUUGUAAACCUCUUUCAGCAUCGACGAAGCGAAAGUGACGGUAGGUGCAGAAGAAGGACCGGCCAACUACGUGCCAGCAGCCGCGGUAA